GGUAAUGGUGAACAAUAGCAGUAACUUAGUUUUAUAUUUAGCUAAAGAUUCAUUAAGACCUGUUUGUCGUUGAUUUGGUUAUGACGUUUGGGUAUCCCCAGUUUUCUGUAUAAAAAAUCAUUGAAGUUUGAUUUAAAAGAAAGCGAAGCUACGUCAAACAUCAUCAAGUAAGCCUAAAAUAGAAACUGAUGCUACAACAUUUUACGAAGUUGUAAACCCUGUAACAAAUAUCGAAGACGCGGCAUACUUAACAAGUUCUGAAGCUGUAAAAAAGAAAGAACAUGAAGAUGUUGACAAUACUAUUCAAAGAUAUGAAGCUAUAAAAAAAUGGAACAAUUAUGGUAAAGAAGAAACAAAAACUUCGAAAAUUAAAUCAGCUACAAUAAAUGUUUAUAUUAAUAAAGACACCGUUGAAGAAAAAGAUAAAGACACCCUUGAGAAAAAAGAUGUAAAAAAAGUUGCGAAAAACAAAAAUGACACAAAAAAAUCAAACAUUCAAAAAAAGUAAUUGAGAAAGCAAGUGACGCAAGAUUUUUGAUACUUAUUUUCAAAAAAUUUCGUGAAUAACUAAAUAAAAUUGACAAUUUUUUUUACAAUAUAUCAUCUCAGAGAACAGCGCUUUGAGUUCGUAAUCAUAUAAAUUGGCUGGGUUUAAUUAUUUUUGUAGAAUAAAUGCCAAUUUUAAUCCAA
rnacentral:misc_RNA from 1 species